CACCAACGCCCACCGCCGCGCCGCGGUGGACGUCCGCCAUCUCGCAGCGGUACCAGCACCUGCUGGACAUGUCGCUGCCGCUCGUGUCGCGAUGCUGGCGGUGGCGUGCGCGUUACCUCGUCCGGCGCUUCCGUCGUGAAGGCGUUCUACAUAGUGACGUCCGCGCUGGGCAUCUACAUGCUGAACCUGCUCAUCGGCUUCCUCUCCCUUCAGCUCGACCCGGAACUCCAGGAACUCGCCGAAGGCGGCGGCCCGUCCUUCCCACCCGAGGCUCCGACGAGUUCAGGCCCUUCGUCCGCCGGCUUCCCGAACUCAAGUGUCGGUUACAAAUCACAUGGGCAUUUGAGACUGCUUUCGUAAUGAUGUUCUUCAGCGUGGUUAAUGUACCUGUCUUCUGGCCUGUACUCCUUUCUACUGGGUCAUGUUGCUUACACUUACAAUGAGGAGACAGAUAAUGCUUAUGGUCAAAUACAAAUAUGUCCCAAUUUCUUUCGGCAAAUGGCGCUAUGAUGGAAAGAGAGCAUCUUCAACUGAGAGUGCGAGCCUUCCGAGGGAUUAAAUAAUUCAAGUAUGAUCUAUCUAUAGUUCUCGAGUAGGCUUGUCUUAUCCUUGGUGGCAUGCCAGCUGAUGGAGCUUUCUCACAGCAAAAGAUUGGCUCAGAAACUAUUUUGGCAUGUUGCCUGAUACUCCACCUAUCUUAAAGAGAUCUUUUAGAAAGCCUACAAAAAGUCAAAAACCAUCAUGGAAACUUCUCGUGAGGAGUGUAUUAAUUGUAAUUUUUCUGUCUUAGCUUUAAUAAGGGGUAGUCCCAAUUUGUUCUUUAGACAUGGCGUUUUUUUUCCUUUAAACUGCUGUCAUUUUAAUAUAGCUGAAGUUCUUAGUUC